CCUACGGGGCGCAGCAGUGGGGAAUAUUGCACAAUGGGGGAAACCCUGGUGCAGCGACGCCGCGUGAGUGAGGAAGUAUUUCGGUUUGUAAAGCUCUAUCAGCAGGGAAGAAAAUGACGGUACCUGACUAAGAAGCCCCGGCUAACUACGUGCCAGCAGCCGCGGUAAUACGUAGGUGGCAAGCGUUAUCCGGAUUUACUGGGUGUAAAGGGAGCGUAGACGGUUAAUCAAGUCAGAAGUGAAAACCCAGGGCUCAACCUUGGGACUGCUUUUGAAACUGAGUAGCUAGAGUGCAGGAGAGGUAAGCGGAAGUCCUAGUGUAGCGGUGAAAUGCGUAGAUAUUAGGAGGAACACCAGUGGCGAAGGCGGCUUACUGGACUGUAACUGACGUUGAGGCUCGAAAGCGUGGGGAGCAAACAGGAUUAGAUACCCCUGUAGUC
rnacentral:rRNA from 1 species